rnacentral:rRNA from 1 species
UACGGAGGGUGCAAGCAUUACUCGGAUUUAUUGGGCGUAAAGGGCGCGUAGGCGGAAGUGAAAGUCAGAUGUGAAAUCCCGGGGCUCAACCCCGGAACAGCAUUUGAAACUCCAUUUCUAGAGGGUAGGCGGAGAAAACGGAAUUCCACAAGUAGCGGUGGAAUGCGUAGAUAUCGCUUGGAACGCCGAAGGUGAAAACAGGUCGCUGGGGACGCGCCGACGCUGAGACACGAAAGCCAGGGGAGCAAACGGG